AUUUAGGUAGCUUAUUUAAAGCUUAACAUUGAAGCUGUUAUGAAGAUUUUAUUAAUCCCUAAAUA
rnacentral:tRNA from 1 species